rnacentral:tRNA from 1 species
GGAGGGAUGCGCCGAAUUGGUAAGGCAACGUCCUGCUAAGACGUAGCCCUGUAAAAAGGGCGUGGGGGUUCGAGUCCCCCUCCCUCCGCCA